rnacentral:piRNA from 1 species
UUCACUGAGAAGUGUGAGUGUGACCAGU